UACGGAGGGGGCGAGCGUUAUUCGGAAUUAUUGGGCGUAAAGGGCGCGUAGGCGGCCCGGUAAGUCAAAGGUGAAAUCCCUCGGCUCAACUGAGGAACUGCCUUUGAAACUGUCGGGCUUGAGGCCGGGAGAGGGUAGUGGAAUUCCCAGUGUAGCGGUGAAAUGCGUAGAUAUCAGAAGGAACAUCAGUGGCGAAGGCGGCUUCCUGGACCAAUACUGACGAUCAGGUGCGAAAGCGUGGGGAGCAAACAGG
rnacentral:rRNA from 1 species